rnacentral:rRNA from 1 species
CUACGGGCGGCUCCAGUGAGGAAUAUUGCACAAUGGGGGGAACCCUGAUGCAGCAACGCCGCGUGGAGGAUGACGCAUUUCGGUGUGUAAACUCCUUUUAUAUGUCAAGAAAAUGACGGUAGCAUAUGAAUAAGCACCGGCUAACUCCGUGCCAGCAGCCGCGGUAAUACGGAGGGUGCAAGCGUUACUCGGAAUCACUGGGCGUAAAGGACGCGUAGGCGGGUUGGAAAGUCAGGUGUGAAAUCCUACAGCUUAACUGUAGAACUGCACUUGAAACUUCUAAUCUAGAGUAUGGGAGGGGGAGAUGGAAUUAGUGGUGUAGGGGUAAAAUCCGUAGAUAUCACUAGGAAUACCUAAAGCGAAGGCGAUCUCCUGGAACAUUACUGACGCUAAGGCGUGAAAGCGUGGGGAGCAAACAGGAUUAGAUACCCCGGUAGUC